GAAUUCGCCCUUAGAGUUUGAUCCUGGCUCAGGAUGAACGCUAGCGGCAGGCUUAACACAUGCAAGUCGAGGGGUAACAUUGUGCUUGCACAGAUGACGACCGGCGCACGGGUGCGUAACGCGUAUAGAAUCUACCUCAUACUAGGGAAUAGCCUUUGGAAACGAAGAUUAAUGCCCUAUAGUAUGAUUACUUGGCAUCAAGUAAUCAUUAAAGGUUACGGUAUGAGAUGACUAUGCGUUCUAUUAGCUAGAUGGUGUGGUAACGGCACACCAUGGCAACGAUAGAUAGGGGCCCUGAGAGGGGGAUCCCCCACACUGGUACUGAGACACGGACCAGACUCCUACGGGAGGCAGCAGUGAGGAAUAUUGGACAAUGGAGGCAACUCUGAUCCAGCCAUGCCGCGUGCAGGAUGACUGCCCUAUGGGUUGUAAACUGCUUUUAUACAGGAAGAAACCUUUUCACGUGUGAGAAGCUGACGGUACUGUAAGAAUAAGGAUCGGCUAACUCCGUGCCAGCAGCCGCGGUAAUAAGGGCG
rnacentral:rRNA from 1 species